AUCACUUCUUGGCCUUUUGGCUAAGAUCAAGGGUAGUAUCUAAGAUGAGAGAUUUUAUUUUUACUUCUAGGUUUUUUUUUUUGUACUUUCAUAUGGUUUCAGGCUUACAAAAAAAAGUUGCGUGAAUAGUACAAAGGAUUCUCAUAUGCCCUUUCUCC
rnacentral:snRNA from 1 species